CAAAAAAAAAAAUUUGUUUUUGGACAACCAAAAAAGCUUUUACACAUAUUAUUAAAGGACACGGAUAAUAUAAACAGACAAUGUGUGGAAUAUCCCCAAUUAAGGUUCAAAUUUGUUGAAUGCCCAUAAUUAUGGAUAACCCAAAAAGGAGUAACUUUUUGACACUGUGUGGACGAAAAUGCCCUUAUGCUUUGUCGAAAACAAGUAACUCUAGAUCUAUCAGCUAAAUAUUUACAUAGCAGGUAACAAUCUACAUACCAACUAACAUAUCCGCUAAUAAUUUCAGUAUCAUCUAACAAUCUAUGUAUCAAACAAAUGUAUCGACUAACAAAUCAUAUAUCAGUUAAUGAAAUUAUUAACAAUUAAUUAGUUAUCUAUUAAAUAGCUUCAAAUCUAUUUGUAACAGCUAACACUUUAUGUAUCGAUUAAGAAUCCAUUAAAAUCUAAAUAAUAGCAGGUAAGUAAUAAAAUACCUGCUAACAUAUAUAUUAUCUAAAAAUUGAUUGUGAUUCGAAAUUGGAAACAUUGGAAUUAGGGUGAGAUAAUAAGAUUAACAUUAUGGGUGUCAAAAAAAUCUGAAUAAAAAAAUAAAGAUUUGUGUUGAAUUAAAAGAUAAUUUGAAGAAUUUGUACGAGAGAUAAAGAAAUUAGAACACAUAAAAGGGAGAAGAGAGAGAGAUAGAGAUACGGAUAUUAUAGUCACUAAAAAUAUUUAAAAAAAAACAAGAUUAUAUGGCAAAUUACAUAGGUUUCUGGGUGCAUCUAUACCAAUUACUCUUGAUUCAAUGAGUUAAAUCAUAUCACUGGUCAUGGUGUCUAAUAAGUUAUACCUACUAUUGCAUUUGGUAUAAUUCCCAUUUGGCGCCUCCCAUAUAUACACUCGAUUAUUUUUGUGCAUAAUAAGUAUUUACAAAAUAAAAAAUAUCAUAAUUAUUUACUAAACUAUUGAAUUUUCAUUUAUUGGAUUUUUUUUAAAAAAUACAGUAGAAUCAAAAAAUUCAAACCAAAAAUUAAAUAUCUGAAAACUAAAAACUAGAACCAAAAUCCGGUACAACAGAAGGGAUUCAAUACAAAACCAGUAAACAUGGUAAAUUUAGAUGAACAAAGGAUAUAAAAUCACCACACAGAGUUUAAACAACUGUCUUACGAAAUAUUCUCUGACGUUAUCAUACCAAGCAGAUAUUCACAAAACCAAACUUUAAAACGAAAAAGAAACAACAA